rnacentral:sRNA from 1 species
CCCGCGCCUAUCACGGCACGGUCUUCAUGGACGGUAGCAUCUUCAUCAUCGGCGGCUUUGACGGCAAUCAGUACCUGAACAGCGUCUACCGGUUCUUCCCCGACGACAAGACGUGGGAGGAGAGGGCGCCCAUGUACAUCAUGAGGUGUUACGUCAGCGCCGUGGAACUAAACGGUUUGAUUUACGCAUGCGGGGGAUUUGACGGACGAAAUCGACAAGAUUCGGUGGAAAAAUACGACCCGCUGAAAAACCAAUGGACGCACGUACAGCCAAUGUGGAGGAAACGUAGCGACGCCGGGGCCACGUCACUAGACGGCAAGAUAUUCAUUGCCGGGGGUUUUGACGGUACUUCCUGUCUGGACUCCUCCGAGUACUACGAUCCAUUAACUGACCAAUGGACGAUGCUACCGGAGAUGACGUCACGGAGAAGUGGCGUUGUUCUGGUGGCGUUAAAUAGAGAACUGGUUGCCUUGGGUGGUUACAACGGCAGCGACCGGCUGGCGUCAGUGGAGCGGUACAGUAGCCUGACCCGUUGCUGGUAUCCCAUGUCUUCCAUGUUACAGGGACGAAGUAACUUUGCUGCUGUAAUACUUGACGGGAAGCUGGUGGUCAUUGGUGGAUACGAUGGUUCCACUACGUCCCCAAACACGGAGGAAUUCGACCCCGUGAAGAAGGCCUGGCGGGGGUUAUUCCCCCUGAACUUUGGGAGGAGCGCGGUCAGUGCGUGUGUGGUGUCUAACAUCAAGAGUGGGCGGGAGUUCUCCUACCACAGCCUGGCUAACAGCAGUGAUAACUUCUGAUGAACUGAAUGAUGCAUGUCAUUUAUAUACAAAAUGUUCAUUCAGUAUAAAAGAAAUUAACAAAUUACUUAACUGUUUAAAUCUCUCCUUAUACUAUAUAAUGGCCCAUAAUAUCACCUCUUUACAUAAACAUUGAAAACUCCAAAUACCACAUUUUGUGUUCAUUUGUACAUGCCUUUUAUUUUGAUUUAUAUCAUUUGAUUUGGUAUAAACAGUCAUUGAUAUGUAAAAGUUCAUUCAUUAUCAUUAUAAAGCAUCACAGUAUUGGCA